GAGUUUGAUUCAUGGCUCAGGAUGAACGCUAGCUACAGGCUUAACACAUGCAAGUCGAGGGGCAGCGGGAUUGAAGCUUGCUUCAAUUGCCGGCGACCGGCGCACGGGUGAGUAACGCGUAUCCAACCUUCCGUACACUCAGGGAUAGCCUUUCGAAAGAAAGAUUAAUACCUGAUGGUAUGAUGAAAUUGCAUGAUAGCAUCAUUAAAGAUUUAUCGGUGUACGAUGGGGAUGCGUUCCAUUAGGUAGUAGGCGGGGUAACGGCCCACCUAGCCUACGAUGGAUAGGGGUUCUGAGAGGAAGGUCCCCCACGAUUGGAACUGAGACACGGUACCAAACUCCUACGGGAGGCA
rnacentral:rRNA from 1 species